rnacentral:rRNA from 1 species
AUUGAACGCUGGCGGCAGGCCUAACACAUGCAAGUCGAGCGGCUGCAGGGAGCUUGCUCCUUGGUUCAGCGGCGGACGGGUGAGUAAUGCCUAGGAAUAUGCCUGCUAGUGGGGGAUAACGUCCGGCAACGGGCGCUAUUACAGCAUACGCCCUGAGGGAGAGAGAGGGGGAUCUUCGGACCUCACGCUAUCAGAUGUGCCUAGGUCGGAUUAGCUAGUUGGUGGGGUAAAGGCCUACCAAGGCGACGAUCCGUAACUGGUCUGAGAGGAUGAUCAGUCACACUGGAACUGAGACACGGUCCAGACUCCUACGGGAGGCAGCAGUGGGGAAUAUUGGACAAUGGGCGAAAGCCUGAUCCAGCCAUGCCGCGUGUGUGAAGAAGGUCUUCGGAUUGUAAAGCACUUUAAGUUGGGAAGAAGGGCAGUAAGUUAAUACCGUGCUGUUUUGACGUUACCAGCAGAAUAAGCACCGGCUAACUUCGUG